GUAGUACUCCCUCCGUCCAAAAAUACUUGUCAUCAAAAUGGAUAAAAAGAGAUGAAUCUAGAACUAAAAUACGUCUAGAUACAUUCCCUUUUAUCCAUUUUGAUGACAAGUAUUUCCGGACGGAGGGAGUACAUA
rnacentral:pre_miRNA from 1 species